GAUGAACGCUGACAGAAUGCUUAACACAUGCAAGUCAACUUGAACUUCGGUUUGGGUGGCGGACGGGUGAGUAACGCGUAAAGAACUUGCCUCACAGAUAGGGACAACAUUUGGAAACGAAUGCUAAUACCUGAUAUUAUGAUUUUAGGGCAUCCUAGGACUAUGAAAGCUAUAUGCGCUGUGAGGGAGCUUUGCGUCCCAUUAGCUAGUUGGAGAGGUAACGGCUCACCAAGGCGAUGAUGGGUAGCCGGCCUGAGAGGGUGAUCGGCCACAAGGGGACUGAGACACGGCCCUUACUCCUACGGGAGGCAGCAGUGGGGAAUAUUGGACAAUGGACCAAGAGUCUGAUCCAGCAAUUCUGUGUGCACGAUGAAGUUUUUCGGAAUGUAAAGUGCUUUCAGUUGGGAAGAAAAAAAUGACGGUACCAACAGAAGAAGUGACGGCUAAAUACGUGCCAGCAGCCGCGGUAAUACGUAUGUCACAAGCGUUAUCCGGAUUUAUUGGGCGUAAAGCGCGUCUAGGUGGUUAUAUAGGUCUGAUGUGGAAAUGCAGGGCUCAACUCUGUAUUGCGUUGGAAACUGUGUAACUAGAGUACUGGAGAGGUAAGCGGAACUACAAGUGUAGAGGUGAAAUUCGUAGAUAUUUGUAGGAAUGCCGAUGGGGAAGCCAGCUUACUGGACAGAUACUGACGCUGAAGCGCGAAAGCGUGGGUAGCAAACAUG
rnacentral:rRNA from 1 species